AGUUCUGUAUCAUAAGACUGUUCCCUUCUUUUUCCCUGAAAAAUUGGAAAAAAAUUAUUUUUCCAAUGUCACAUCUUUAAAUCUUACAUAUAUUUUGAAUCUAGAAUAGUAUAGUUUCUUAAUGAGAAGUAAAGUUGACUUUACCCAUGACUCCAGGGAGAUUGAUGGAGCCCAAGAAACAAAGAAGCAAGUUAUGAAAAUAAAAAGGAAUUGUAUGUUGACAAUUCGUUUGGAGGAACUUUUGCCCAGUGUAUGCCAAAAUCAGAUGCAGAUAGUAUGUCACCAAAAGGAAAUACCCCCAGUAUGGUAGCUUGGAUUUGACAAGAGAGUGCAUAGAUGGUAACGGUCGAUGUAGAACCUUUUGCCCUGAAUAUGAAGUUAGAAUUGCUUACUGCAUCAGGCCUGGAACUCAUUGCUGCCUUCAGACGUAAGGACGAGAGAAGAAAAGACACACACACUCCAAGAGAAGAUAAGUGUUACUGUCUUUUCAGCAUAUCUGUCAAGGCCUGUGUGUCUCCACAAACCACAGAAAUCCAUAUAAAAUUUGAUUCUGAUUCAUUGAGAAAGGA